UACGGGGGGAGCAAGCGUUGUUCGGAUUUACUGGGCGUAAAGGGCGCGUAGGCGGCCAGCACAAGUCAGUUGUGAAAUCUCCGAGCUUAACUCGGAAAGGUCAACUGAUACUGUGCGGCUAGAGUGCGGAAGGGGCAACUGGAAUUCUUGGUGUAGCGGUGAAAUGCGUGGAUAUCAAGAGGAACACCUGCGGCGAAGGCGGGUUGCUGGGCCGACACUGACGCUGAUGCGCGAAAGCCAGGGGAGCGAACGGG
rnacentral:rRNA from 1 species